GAUGAACGCUGGCGGCGUGCCUAAUACAUGCAAGUCGAGCGAACGGACGAGAAGCUUGCUUCUCUGAUGUUAGCGGCGGACGGGUGAGUAACACGUGGAUAACCUACCUAUAAGACUGGGAUAACUUCGGGAAACCGUAGCUAAUACCGGAUAAUAUUUUGAACCGCAUGGUUCAAAAGUGAAAGACGGUCUUGCUGUCACUUAUAGAUGGAUCCGCGCUGCAUUAGCUAGUUGGUAAGGUAACGGCUUACCAAGGCAACGAUGCAUAGCCGACCUGAGAGGGUGAUCGGCCACACUGGAACUGAGACACGGUCCAGACUCCUACGGGAGGCAGCAGUAGGGAAUCUUCCGCAAUGGGCGAAAGCCUGACGGAGCAACUCCGCGUGAGUGAUGAAGGUAUUCGGAUCGUAAAACUCUGUUAUUAGGGAAGAACAUAUGUGUAAGUAACUGUGCACAUCUUGACGGUACCUAAUCAGAAAGCCACGGCUAACUACGUG
rnacentral:rRNA from 1 species